ensembl:lncRNA LINC01471 long intergenic non-protein coding RNA 1471
AAUGCAGAGGUGGGGGACAGAGUGGGUGGGGAGGGGAGCCGCCAUACAGUGGCCAGGACCAGCUUUGCCCAAGUGGUGGCAACCGCAUGACCACAGGAACGAUGGCGUGAGCCCCGUGGCAACCUGGAGGAAGGCUUCAAGGACCACAGAGGGCCAAGUGCAGGAGUAAGAGGCUGGCGUGCUGACAGUGGCCAAGGGCAUUGGAGGGAAGGACCUGUCAUCACUGGGCCAAGGAAGGAACUCCAGACUGCCUACUUCCAGAGGGCCUGCUGAGGAAUUUUAGCUUGAACUUGCCUGCCUUGACUAGGGCUUUCUGAGCAGCAGAUGAUUCUGCAAUGGUGUUAGUCCAGGCCUGGUUCUGCAUGACAUUGACCAUACUGUGCACCCUGGGGUCAUUAUGUCUUGGGCUUCAAGGGGCUCCAUGGGCUCCAGGGGGCUCCAUGUGACACUGCACAGAGCUCUCUCUAGGUCACCUGGAUGUGUCUCUUCCUAGGAACCCCAAAGAGCUCUCUCAACAAACACACCCACGAGUUCCAGGAGUGAGGCUGCAGGGAACAGCCUCACUCUCAGAGGGGAUACAGAAUUGUUCCACUGGACAAGGGCUGGGAUCGUCAUAGGAUGCCGUUGGCCUGUGGUUUCCAACAGAGGUGCAGUUCAUUGAACUGUGGUCUACAGUCCAUUCUCUAACUUGGGGACCCUUGAAGAAGUGUGGAAUCAUGACAACAACCCUGUUGGGAGACACUAUUAUUCCCAUCACAUGGAUGAGCACACGGAGGCAAAAGGAAGUUAUAUGAUUGUCUGAGAUCACCCAGUGAAGACUGUGUGGCUGGGAGUUGUCCCCAGUGUUAUCUGCACGCUGCUUCCUUUUGAUGCCUGGCCCUUCUUUAUCAAAAGAAGCAUUGGCAGAAUCUGGGUGUUUAUGGGUCAGCUCAAAAUAAAUUACUUUAUAUGU